UACAGAGGGGGCAAGCGUUGUUCGGAAUUACUGGGCGUAAAGCGUGCGCAGGCGGUUUUGUAAGACAGAGGUGAAAUCCCCGGGCUCAACCUGGGAACUGCCUUUGUGACUGCAAGGCUUGAGUGCGGCAGAGGGGGAUGGAAUUCCGCGUGUAGCAGUGAAAUGCGUAGAUAUGCGGAGGAACACCGAUGGCGAAGGCAAUCCCCUGGGCCUGCACUGACGCUCAUGCACGAAAGCGUGGGGAGCAAACAGG
rnacentral:rRNA from 1 species